rnacentral:tRNA from 2 species
GCGCCCUUAGCUCAAUUGGAUAGAGCGUUGGUCUACGGAACCAAAGGUUAGGGAUUCGAGCUCCUUAGGGCGCACCA